rnacentral:lncRNA from 1 species
GAGUGUGUACACAUCAUCAACAAAUUGUUCAACAUUAAGGUUCACCUUAGCACACGCUACCACGACAUGCGCACAUGGAUAAUGAAGUGUUUGGAACCUCCUGCAAUCACACCGUUUGUUACAGAGAUCAACUCCAUAGGACCUAGGUGGUAUACCGGAUCGACGACUGAUGGUCUCUGUAACAAGAAAUGUUUCAUGGCAUCGUGAAUAUAUUUCUACAUUCG